rnacentral:sRNA from 1 species
UGUGGAGAAGAAGGUU